rnacentral:lncRNA from 1 species
UUAACACAAAAUAAGGAAAGUAUAAAAAGAACUAAAAAAGAAAAGAAAACUAAGAUUUGUCAAGUCUUCGAUCUUUAAUUUUUAAGAGUUUUUCCUCGCUUUCUUGCUUACUUGACGCUCUUUUUUUUUCAGAGAAAAUCUAUAUUAAUUGUGUCUUUUAAUUACUUUAAACGUGCCUUUAAAUAAGCUCCAAAAAGACUUAAUUUGAGUUAAAUCUGGAAUCAGAAUGUCCUAGAUAUCGCGUCAAUGCCAUAGCCACACUUUUCUGGUAUUACGACACCCAAGUUUUCAGGUUUUGGAUGUUGCAACCUCAAUUCUUUAUCGCCAUGGUGCCCAACUUUUUGUCUCUUCGUACACUUUACUACAUUCGAUCAACUUGGGACGCAAAUUUUCUCCUCGAUCUAGGUCGAAUUAGGCAAAGUGACAAACAUAAAAGUUGUAGUCCUGUCUCUUGGCGUUCCAAUGGCUCAAGAAUCACAUCAAUUGGGCUUCUAAAAUGAGAGUUAUGCUCAAAAUAUAGAAACAUGUAUGAGAAAAGCACUUGGCCAUUCAUGCACUCUUCUUCACCAAUUGAAGUUGUUUUAAUUGCACACCUACAAGAGCAUAUUCAAUAAUGAAAUAACUAAAAGCAAUUUAACAUAAAACUAAAAUAAAACAACUUAAAUUAAAACAACUCAUCAUGAUUUAAACUAAACUAGAAAAACAACUAUAAAAACCUAAUUUCAAACCUAAAUAUCAAGAACUUAGCCAAUUUAAUACUCAAAAUGUAACCAAAUAACUCUAUGAAAUAGAGUUCUCACACCCCUAAACUUUAG